rnacentral:rRNA from 1 species
AUGCGUCAGUACUUGUGGGGCAUUGAGAAAGGAAAGAGUAAGAUGGCAUGGCUUAGCUGGGACAAGAUGAGAUUAUCUAAAGCUAUGGGAGGCAUGGGUUUUAGAGAUAUGAGGGCUUUUAACCAGGCAUUACUUGCUAAACAGGCAUGGCGCCUCAUUGAUACACCAAAUAGCCUAUGUGCUAGAUUGUUGAAGGCAAAGUAUUUUCCUGCGGGGCAUUUGCUUGACACGGUCUUUCCCAAUAGCGGCUCGGCAGUUUGGAAAGGAAUUUUGCAUGGUCUUGACUUACUAAAGAAGGGUAUUAUUUGGCGUGUAGGGGAUGGUGCUUCAAUCAGGACCUGGAGGGAUCCAUGGAUCCCAAGGGCUUCCUCCUUUCGCCCCAUAACACCGAAACGUACA